rnacentral:rRNA from 1 species
UACAGAGGGUGCAAGCGUUGUUCGGAAUUAUUGGGCGUAAAGCGCGUGUAGGCGGCUUUGCAAGUCGGGUGUGAAAGCCCUCAGCUCAACUGAGGAAGUGCCUUUGAAACUGUCUGGCUUGAGGCCGGGAGAGGGUAGCGGAAUUCCCAGUGUAGCGGUGAAAUGCGUAGAUAUUGGGAGGAACACCAGUGGCGAAGGCGGCUACCUGGACCGGUUCUGACGCUGAGGCGCGAAAGCGUGGGUAGCAAACAGG